rnacentral:tRNA from 1 species
GGCCGUAUGGUAUAGUGGUAUAUUACGCUCGCCUGUCUAGCGAGAAAUCAGGGUUCGAUUCCCUGUAUGGUCGCCA